AUCAACUAAUGACGUACAGAGAGUCUGGCCCUUUAAAAGUUAGGACAAAGGGAAGAGAGAGGUUAGUUUGGGCAUUUAGAUUUGGGCAUUCAGAGAGAUCCAGGACAGAUAUUCAAGUUCCUGGCACUAACCCUCAAACUCUCUUGGACACAACUCAAGAAACACUCCUUAACACUUAGAAUUUUACUGAUACUUUCUAACUAACAUCACUUUUCUCUAUUACUUACACACCUCCAUACAACCAAUCAUACUCGCAUCCAAGUUCCUGGGACUACCUACUCAUCUGAUGAGAACAUCUACAUAAUUGGUAAUUAUGCUGGUUUUAUUUAAUUAAUCUAAAUUAAUAAAAAUCUAAUAGCCUGAUAUAUGACUGGAUAAAUCACGGUCAGAUUUCAAUAUUUAGACAUUUUUGUUAACUAAAGAAUAUAUAGUUAUAAACAUUCCAUUCUGCAGGUGGAAUUAAGAAUAAUUAUAUAUUAAUGUGAUAUUAUCACGUGUUAGCAUACCGCUGUUUUUAUCCAGGUGUAUUGAUUUGCUCUAAAAUAAGAUAAGAUAUCUUUUUAGGCAAAUUAAAAUUCGGCUUUUGUAAAAAUCUGGUAGAUUAUUCUUAUUGGAUGGUUCCAGGAAAUGAUUACUGAGCUGGUUCAAAUGUUAUUUUAAUUGAAAAUUACAUGAGAAUAGGAUACUAUAUGCCUGUGAGGAUCUAGCCAGCAUUGAAAGGGUUACUCAGUUGAUUUAACUGUUACCCAAGGUUUUAUGGCUUUUUGCUGGAAGUUUAGCUUUCUGUGUCUGUGAUGUACCUUCAUAAAUCGUGUAAGUCUUGCCAGUUGAUGCUGUAGCUUUAUACUGUGUUUAGCCAUUGCCAUUGUGCUUAUGUUAAACUAAAUAUUCACUGAUUAUUAUCAUGCAUGCUGCCU